rnacentral:rRNA from 1 species
UGCCUUACACAUGCAAGUCGAACGGCAGCACGGGAGCAAUCCUGGUGGCGAGUGGCGAACGGGUGAGUAAUAUAUCGGAACGUGCCCAGUCUGGGGGAUAACGUAGCGAAAGCUACGCUAAUACCGCAUACGAUCUAUGGAUGAAANCGGGGGAUCGCAAGACCUCGCGCGAUUGGAGCGGCCGAUAUCAGAUUAGGUAGUUGGUGAGGUAAAGGCUCACCAAGCCGACGAUCUGUAGCUGGUCUGAGAGGACGACCAGCCACACUGGGACUGAGACACGGCCCAGACUCCUACGGGAGGCAGCAGUGGGGAAUUUUGGACAAUGGGCGCAAGCCUGAUCCAGCAAUGCCGCGUGCAGGAUGAAGGCCUUCGGGUUGUAAACUGCUUUUGUACGGAACGAAACGGUGAGCUCUAAUACAGUUUGCUAAUGACGGUACCGUAAGAAUAAGCACCGGCUAACUACGUG